GACGAACCGUGCGAACGUUAUUCGGAAUCACUGGGCUUAAAGGGCGCGUAGACGGGCGACCGCGUCGAUGGCUGAAAGCCCCCGGCUCAACCGGGGAAUGGGCCUCGAUACGGGUCGCCUCGAGUGGAGGAGGGGGACCUGGAACUUCCGGUGGAGCGGUGAAAUGCGUUGAGAUCGGGAAGAACACCGGUGGCGAAAGCGCUCUGCUGGACUGCAACUGACACUCAGGGACGAAAGCUAGGGGAGCGAAUGGG
rnacentral:rRNA from 1 species